rnacentral:rRNA from 1 species
UACGUAGGGUGCAAGCGUUGUCCGGAAUUAUUGGGCGUAAAGAGCUCGUAGGCGGCUUGUCGCGUCGUCCGUGAAAACCUGCAGCUCAACUGCAGGCUUGCGGUCGAUACGGGCAGGCUAGAGUUCGGUAGGGGAGACUGGAAUUCCUGGUGUAGCGGUGAAAUGCGCAGAUAUCAGGAGGAACACCGGUGGCGAAGGCGGGUCUCUGGGCCGAUACUGACGCUGAGGAGCGAAAGCGUGGGAGCGAACAGG